CCUGUGUUCAAUUUUUUUGCAUAGUUUUAUUGUUUGGGAAAUAGGGACAGUUGAGAAAGUUCAUAUCAAAAAUAAUCAUUGCCCCUUCACCUUCAGUGCUGAACCCAGAGAUUAGAGGAAACCAAGUUUCUGUACCAUCUGCUAAUUUAUAAAAACAUGAAGAAUCUGUUGGAAGUGACUUGAAUCUGUUAGUCUAAUAGUUGACAUUUUAUUCAGGAUAAUUACUCAUGAUUGCCAUUUAUUCUUUUCUAGCAAUUCGUCGUUACAAUGCCCAUGCCCAUAAUCUGUUGGUCUCUACCAUGCUCCCAUGAAUACAAUUGUCAAAUCUGUUCUUUAACAGCCAUUGAACCUGCUUCACCAUCAACCUGUUCCUCACUGUUUGAUCCACUCCCCUUCACCCAGAGUUGACGGGUUGGCUGCCAGGGUCUCUCAGGACAUACUCCUCAACACUUUCCAUCUGGGCCUCCUUUUCCAUAAUUCUCAUGGAAUUGAUGAGUCAAAGAUUGACGGAUCAACAGGCUGGACGUGCAUGUGUGAAUCCUACAGUUUGCUUUAUAAAGCUACAUGGAUAGAAAAAAGCAAGAUCGGAUCAUCACCUUUGGAGACAUUGAACACUAAAUGAAACCCUUCCUGGUAGAUGGAAACAGAAAAAGAAGGAAGCAAAUGUCCUGGUUGUAACCAAUCAGAGGAGCAGAAAUGGAAAUAGAAAAAGAAGGAAGCAAAUAUUCUGGUUGUAACCAAUCAGAGGAGCAGAAAUGAUCCCUAGGAGAAAGGGAGAGAGAUUUGGGGAGACCAAGUUGCAAUUUAAAAUACUUCAUUAACCAACUCAUUUUAAAGCUGAACAUUCUCUCAUAUACAUUUCCCUAAUUGUUAAGAGCACUCACUUAAAAUUGUUAAAGUGUAGCAUAUAUACAGAAACUUGCAUGGAUCUUUUUUUGGUGUGUAUCUUUGUG
ensembl:lncRNA